GACGAACCGUGCGAACGUUGUUCGGAAUCAUUGGGCGUAAAGGGCGCGUAGGUGGUUCUGUGUGUCUACCGUGAAAGCGUACGGCUCAACCGUAUUUUGUCGGUAGAAACUGCAGGACUUGAGGCUGGGAGGGGCUGGUGGAAUUCCCUGUGUAGCGGUGAAAUGCGUAGAGAUGGGGGAGAACACUCGUGGCGAAGGCGGCCAGCUAGACCAGUUCUGACACUGAGGCGCGACAGCGUGGGGAGCAAACAGG
rnacentral:rRNA from 1 species